AUUGAACGCUGGCGGCAUGCCUUACACAUGCAAGUCGAGCGGAGUGAUGGUGCUUGCACUAUCACUUAGCGGCGGACGGGUGAGUAAUGCUUAGGAAUCUGCCUAUUAGUGGGGGACAACAUCUCGAAAGGGAUGCUAAUACCGCAUACGUCCUACGGGAGAAAGCAGGGGAUCACUUGUGACCUUGCGCUAAUAGAUGAGCCUAAGUCGGAUUAGCUAGUUGGUGGGGUAAAGGCCUACCAAGGCGACGAUCUGUAGCGGGUCUGAGAGGAUGAUCCGCCACACUGGGACUGAGACACGGCCCAGACUCCUACGGGAGCCAGCAGUGGGGAAUAUUGGACAAUGGGGGGAACCCUGAUCCAGCCAUGCCGCGUGUGUGAAGAAGGCCUUAUGGUUGUAAAGCACUUUAAGCGAGGAGGAGGCUCUUUUGGUUAAUACCCAAGAUGAGUGGACGUUACUCGCAGAAUAAGCACCGGCUAACUCUGUGCCAGCCGCCGUGGUAA
rnacentral:rRNA from 1 species